UUUUGUACUUCCGGGGAGACCGAGAGAGAGAAGGGAAAGGUGCGGAGAGUGAAUGGCGCGGAGCUAAGCUAGCGGCAAGGACAGUGAUUGGGAAGAGACGCCACCUGCAUCCAUGGGAGAGACUUCGCCGGGUUGCCAAGGGGUCGGCGGUGGAGGACGCUACGUUGCUGCCGAGGUUGACGGGGAAGUGCGACACGGAGCGCUGCUGGUCCGGGUGAUUCCAUCGUCACACAGAGACUGGUUGGAUUCUACUUCAGCAGAAUAACCUCUUCCACAUUAAAGACCUGAACUGAGUGCCGUCUCACUGCUUUUUGUGAUAAACUCUCAUCAAUUACGAAGUACAACAGAUUUGUCCAUCCGUCCAUCCAUCCAUGUUCUAUACCACUUAUCUGUCAUUUCGUGGGGGGGGGGCUGGAGCCUAUCCCAGCUGACCACGGGCGAGAGGCGGAGUACACCCUGGACUGGUCGCCAUUCAGUCGCAGGGCUGACACACAAAGACAGACAACCACUCACGCACAUGCUUGCACUUGGGGACAAUGUAGAGAGGCCAUUUAACCUAAUGUGCACAUUUUUGGGAUUGUGGGAGGAAGUCGGAGUACCCUGAGCAAACCCAUGCAGGCACAAGGAGAUGUUAUUAAUGUUAUUAUAUAAUAUUUUAUAAUAACAACAACUUCAUCAGAAAAUACUACAACUGAAACUACAGUAGAGUUUGAUCUCCACCUGGAAGUCUGCUAACUGUCUCGUUGCCACUCCUGGUAUCUUCACUGUACCGACAUGGACAGAAGAUCUGGCUUCAGAAAGUGGGUAAGAUUUGGGUAGACUUCUUUCAGCAAGUGAAUCUUUAGUCCAGCCUAGUGUUUGCCCUAUAAAACCCAAUAAAAUACAGUAUUUCUGAUGUCUUUCUAUAUAAAUAUACUGUAAAAAGCAAUGGACAAUGUCAUGAUUUAAGAGGUUUUCUUCAAAAUUAUGCCAUCAUUUUUUCUCCAAACAGAUAAAUUUUACUGUCAGUGUCACCAGUUACUAGAUUAAAAAUUCAGAAAAGUUAAACUUACACUGUAGCAUAACUAAGCAAGCAUGUGUGUAAGGCCUGACUGGAAACCAUGACCCAAAACUUACCCUGAGCUCCACAAAAUAAAAUAAGAAAGAAAAAAAAAGAUUUGAUAUGUGAGUAAGAUAUGUGAAUAAGAGAACAGGUUGUGUUUCUCUGUGUAUUCAAUGUCAGCAUAAGGCUUUUUUUUUUUGCUAAAAUGGUCAAAAUGUUGAAUGAAGAAGAAGACUUUUGACGUCUAUGAGUCAUCUGGCCAGAAAGUAUUAGAAAUCCAUGCUUUGCAUGGUUUGCUUUUUGCAAACUUUGCUUUUAUAGUGGUUUUAUUUUCUCUGUCACUUGAAUUCCCAAUUUGUAUACAAGUGUGCAAUUUGAUUCAGAUUUAAUUUGCAACCAGUUUAGAACUAUGCUUAAAGGCAGAGGAAACAUGGCAAAGUGAAAAACGUUAAUGGAGCAGUGUAACGCAGUAUGAAGUGCCAUCUACAAUAGGAGGCUCUUAGUAACGGAGGUCAAAUGAAAUUGGGAUGUCAAGCACAAUUGGAAUUACAUUCUAUGGAGUGAUUCAUGUUCUAUUUUCUGUGGGAUUUGCAAAAAAGGAAUGGAGCCAAAUCCUAAUAGGAAACAUUAUCAUAUGUAAUACAAAUUUACAUCUGAGUCUCUCUAUAAAAUUGCCUUUCUAUGCUGCACUGGCAUAUUCAAUCAUGUCAUAUGACUUUAUGAAAAGCCAAGUUGUGGAAAUAAAUGAACCAAAGCAACCUUGUGCUAGGUUCAGCGUCACUGGUGUAAUAUUUAUAUGCAUAAUUAGUUUUUUUAUGCUGCCAGGGAUUUAUGAUGUAUCUGAAGAAUUCUAUUUGGGGAACAGUUUGCAGAGCGUGAAUAAGAAAGCAUAUUUGAUGAAAUGAAUGAGAGGGAUAAUGGCAAUGUUGAAAAUUGUGUUAAAUGUCCCAAUUUUAACAUUGUAAUAAAAGAAGUGUACAAAUGUAUGACCCUAAA